AUGGAAAAAAUUCUCAUCUUUCCAACAUACAGGGGAAAAAAUGAGGUACAUGUACAGGAUGUGAAAGUUUGUUACAUAGAUAAAUGUGUGCCACGGAGGUUUGCUGGACCUAUCAACCCAUCACCCAGGUGUGGAUGUCCUGGAGAAGCUCGGGAUUUCAUUCUGAUGCUAAACACACACACCUGCCCAGGAAAGAGAGGAGCUGAAGGAAGACCCAGGGGAAUUUAGAGCAUUUGUGGGCCUAGCUACUACUUUGUACCAAUGAGAUGCUCUUUGAUUUUGUGAUGCCUUUCCACAUUGGGAUAACUCUUUCCAGAGGCUUCAGCCAUGCUCUUGGACUUUCCAGCCCCCAUGAGCCAAAUAGAUC
rnacentral:lncRNA from 13 species